UACGAAGGGUGCUAGCGUUGUUCGGAAUCACUGGGCGUAAAGCGCGCGUAGGCGGCGAUACAAGUCAGAGGUGAAAUCCCCAGGCUCAACCUGGGAACUGCCUUUGAAACUGUAUUGCUUGAGUGUCGGAGGGGAUAGCGGAAUUGCUAAUGUAGAGGUGAAAUUCGUAGAUAUUAGCAGGAACACCGGUGGCGAAGGCGGCUAUCUGGACGACAACUGACGCUGAGGCGCGAAAGCCAGGGGAGCAAACGGG
rnacentral:rRNA from 1 species